AUACUCCAGUAAUGCUCUAUAACCCGAUUCUGGCGAGGGAUACAGGUUGAGGGUGUUACAAAAAUACCACUACUUUUUUACAUUAUUUUACUUAUUAGGUGAAUCAGAGGCGGGGCACAACCCCACUUUUUAGACCCAAGGCCGGCUUGCCGAUUGAUCUAGGUGAAAAACAUUAUCAGUUAGGGAGUUUGGCUGGCGCGACACAUCUAUUAAAAGAUAAUGUAGGUACCUUCGGAUGAGCUCAAAAAGAACAAAAAUCUCAUGUGGAACAAAAGAGUAAAAGCUCGUUUGGUUCUAAUUUCUAGUAAGAAUAAAAACCUUAAAAGCCUGGCCUGUCGAUCCUUCUAUCCUUCAGAAUUUGAAGCUCGAGGUGUUAGAAAAUUUACCAUAGUGAUAAAUGGCUUGUGGCAAUCAAAUGUUCAUAGUGGCAUUGCUUUUUGAUGGCUUUUCCUAUCAUUAUUAAGUAGAAUUCACCAAGUGUUGGAUUUUUCAGUCACUAAUAGGGAGCAUGAGAUGGGUUUAGACUGUCAUGAGACAAAUUAGUU
rfam:Gossypium raimondii Chr08_contig_10, whole genome shotgun sequence.